rnacentral:lncRNA from 1 species
AAAUAAUUUACUUCAGCCAAUAGAGAAUGUGCUCUUCCUGAAGUGAAAGGACUUUUCUUCCAGAACUGAAGAGUCGCAUCGGAUUCAUCAGCUCCAGAGGGAAGAGGUGGCUGUGAUCCUGCUGGAGUCGGAGCAGCUCCAAUGGACACUCACAGAGAGAAGAAGGCUGAGACUGCGUGUAUUGUCUCUGGAUUAUAUACGGCAUUUAGUUUUUAGAGCAAUAAAAAUAUUAGCUAUAAUUUCCUGAGAACCUAAAAUGUACCAAUCCCUCUUCUAGGCACUUUCUGUACUUUAUUUUUGUCUCAUUACAAAAACUUUUUGGAGUUGACAUUGUCAUCAUUCCCAUUUAAAUGCAAGGAAAUUGAGUUUCAGAGAAGUUAAGGUGUCUUGUAAAGAUUAAAUCAACCAAUAAAUGUGUGGUGCUUAGACUGGUACUUACCAUGUAGGAGUUGCUCAGUGGACUUUUGUUAGGAAGCUCUUUUUCUCCUGCAAAGCAGGAACUUAGGGAAGGUGAUCCAUGCUCAUGGCCUGUGGCAAGAUCAAUCUGAGACCCACUGGUCUAGAGAGAGCCUGUUCCUCUGCAUAUUCCCAAGUGCCACAUGCACAACACUGGACACUCAGGGAACUCUUUAAAUGUUGGGAAUGAGUGGAAAGCCCUUUCACAUUGCUUCUUUCAAGGUUCUAACUGGCGGUCUUCUUCCUUCCUUCUCUUCCCAAGGCAAACGAAGACUGGACUUACUCCUUGAGUGCAAAACACACAACAAAUGCUGAAGGCACUUCAAGCACUCGUGGUGCAAAGAUCGGGCAGAAAAAUUCAGAUGCAUCCUCACAAAAAUUAUGGCAGCAGCAAGUAAGAAGAUAAUGAUCCUGAGAAUCAGCACCCAAGACCAGCGGUCAGUCCAGCAGGAAAGAGAUAAAGGUGGCAUGGGACAAGCGCCACCCUCACCUCUGGGGACCAUCCCCCAGACACCAAGCAGGAAGACGAAGCUCAGGUCACAUUCAUCAUGGCUGAACUCCAGGUCACCUGUGGUGCAGAGAAAGUGGCUGGCUCAGAUGUCCAGGCCUGUGAGUAGGAACAAUGAUGGGACUUUCUCUGAAGCUUGCAUUGCACUUAUCCGCAGCGGGGAAGGGGUUGCGGAAUGACCUCUCUCCUUGUGAACUCCAGCAGAGCAGUUUUUCUGUGUGUUCGUUUUCUAUUUUUCUUGGUAUUGUUUUCUAAUUUUACAAAUUGAAAAUGAUAUAUGACCAAGUUUACUCUUCUCUCCUUGGAGACUGAAUAAUUUUUCAAAUCUUGACUGACCAUCUUCUCUUUCUCAUGGACGAAUCGUCCCUUCCUGGGUUUAGAAGUGCAGUGUUGUGUUGAGCAUAUGGACAUGACUGUGAGUCCCUGGCCGUCUUCUGUUUCUCGUGGAGGAAUUGUCUCUCCCUGUCUUUAGUACUGCAGUGCUGUGUUGAGCAGACAGUCAUGGCUGUGAGUCUCUGGGCUUGUGCCCUGGCCCAGUCAUUGCCUAGGCAACUCCCUCCCCACGGGCACCUGGCCUCUCUCCACUUUACUUUCUGAACCUGUAAAAUGGGUAGGAGGAUGGAGGAUGGUAGGUCCUACCUCAUAGAGCUCGCGAGAGGAUUGGUACAGAUGAAAGCACUCGGAACACUGGCUGCAAUAUGAUAGGUCCUCAUCCAAUGUUAAUUACCAUUAUAAUUAUAAGCGUCUUUUAAAAGUAUUUGUCAUAAUACCUUUUUAUGUGGAUGGAAAGAGUGAUAUAAAUUUUCACUGUCAUGAUGUGAACAGAACCUGGAGCACGCUUGGGUGGAGCCUGGAACUUUGGGUUAUUGAAGAGCCUGCUAGCACUAGUUCUAACAGCUGAGAUAUAGAAUCAGUCCAGGUGUCCAAUAAUACAUGAAUGGAUGAAGUAUCCAUGGAGAUACAUGAAUUGAAAAUGUAUAUACACAUACACUUUAAAAUUUGUGUAUACACAAUGGAAUACUAUUCAGCCAUAAAAAGAAUGAAAUCCUGUCAUUCAUGGCAAAAUGGUUGGAACUGGAGGACACCGUGUUCAGUAAAACGAGCCAGGAACACGAAGUUAAACGCCUCAUGUUCUCACUUAUUCGUGGAAGCUUAAAAAUGCUGAUCUCAUAGAAGUAAAAGGUAGAACAGAAGAUCCUAGAGGCUGGGAAGGAUUGGAGAAAGGGAGAGAUAGGGAGAGAUUUGUUAAAGAAUACAAAAUUACAGCUAGACAAGAGGAAUAAUUUCUAGUGUUCUAUACCACUGUAGGAUGACUACAGUUAACAAUAAUAUAUAGUUUUAAAUAACUAUAGGGAGGAUAUUGACAAGGAAAUAAUAAGUAUUUGAGAUGAUGGAGAUGCAAAUCACCCUGAUCUGAUCACUGUAAAACUUAUGUAUUAAAAUAUCCCUGUUUACCCCCAUGAAGGUGUACAAUUAUUAUGUGUCCAUGAAACAUAAAUAAAGUAAAUUUUUAAGACUCCA